AGAUGUCUCUAUAUUGUGCCGCUGCCAGCUGGGGUUCCUGGUGAUGUGAUUUUAUUUUGGUGUUCAGAAUCACAUUGCCAGGGAUUUCCAACCAUCAGUGAGCUACCGCACCUGAGAAGU
rnacentral:pre_miRNA from 11 species